AUGAGUGGCCAGGGCAAGCAGGAGCAGACUGCUGCAGGGGGCAGGAGACUCAGUGGUCAUCAGGUGAAGCAACUUGCUGCUGGCAACUCCAGCAACAAAGGAGAGAGGAAGUUUGUGUGUCUGGAGUGUGGAAAAGAAUUCUCAAGGUCAGGCCUCAGAUAUCACAUCUUUACACACACUGGUGUAAAGAACUAUGAAUGUAAGGAAUGUGGGAAAAAAUUCAGCUGGGAGAGUCACCUUGCUACACACACCCUUACACACACUGGUGUAAAGAACUAUGAAUGUAAGGAAUGUGGGAAAAAAUUUGGCCAUAAGAGAGCCCUCGUCAGACACAUCCUUACCCACAAUGGUGUAAAGAACUAUGAAUGUAAGGAAUGUGGGGAAAAAUGUGGCAAUAAGUGUGCCCUUGAUAAACACACUCUUACACACACUGGUGUAAAGAACUAUGAAUGUAAGGAAUGUGGGAAAAAAUUUAGACAGAAGGGUACCCUUGAUACACACACCUUUAUACACACUGGUGUAAAGAACUAUGAAUGUAAGGAGUGUGGGAAAAAAUUUAGACAGAAGGGUACCCUUGAUAAACACACCCUUACACACACUGGUGUAAAGAACUAUGAAUGUAAGGAGUGUGGGAAAAAAUUUAGACAGAAGGGUACCCUUGGUAUACACACCCUUACACACACUGGUGUAAAGAACUAUGAAUGUGAGGAAUGUGGGAAAAAAUUUGGCCAUAAGAGUACCCACGUCAGACACAUCCUUACCCACACUGGUGUAAAGAACUAUGAAUGUAAGGAGUGUGGGAAAAAAUGUGGCCGUAAGAGUGCCCUUGAUGAACACACCCUUACACACACUGGUGUAAAGAACUAUGAAUGUAAGGAAUGUGGGAAAAAAUUUAGACAGAAGGGUACCCUUGAUAAACACACCCUUACCCACACUGGUGUAAAGAACUAUGAAUGUAAGGAAUGUGGGAAAAAAUUUAGACAGAAGGAUACCCUUGAUAAACACACCCUUAUACACACUGGUGUAAAGAACUAUGAAUGUAAGGAAUGUGGGAAAAAAUUUAGACAGAAGAGUGCCCUUGAUAUACACACCCUUACACACACUGGUGUAAAGAACUAUGAAUGUAAGGAAUGUGGGAAAAAAUUUAGACAGAAGGGUAUCCUUGAUACACACACCCUUACACACACUGGUGUAAAGAAUUAUGAAUGUAAUGAGUGUGGGAAGAAAUUCAUCCUCAAGAGUACACUUCUUCGACACACCUUCACACACACUGGUGUAAAGAACUAUGAAUGUAAGGAAUGUGGGAAAAAAUUUAGACUGAAGGGUGCCCUUGUUAGGCACACCCUUACACACACUGGUGUAAAAAAUCAUGAGUGUGAAGAGUGCGGGAAGAGAUUCAGUGUCAAAUCAACACUCAAUGAACACGUCUCCAGGCGUCACUAUAGCCUAAUAGAGUUCAAGUGUGAUGUUUGUGGAAAGCUCUUUAGGGCAAAGAGAGACAUUGUCAGGCACAUGAAGAGCCACUUCUGAAGUGUGUCUGCCUACAGUAGUUAUAUUGACCAGGUUGUUAGCAGCAGCUGAGGGAAAGGCAAGUGAAGGAGAGGUGAAAGUAAUCAUGUCAGAUAAAGAAGAAAGGUUUGCCUGUCAGUGUUGACAUAGAAAAAUGUAACAAACCUUAAGACUCUUGGCUUUCUCAAGUCAUGCAGGACCAUUUCAUGUCCAAAUUGUCUGCCUAUCCAUGUACCAAAGCUGUCCAUGUGUUUUGUGAUGGGUCUGUUAAUGGCAGCAAGACUGGCUGUGGAUUAUUUAUGAAGAGUAUAACUCCCCCUCUGAAUACACUGACCCUGAGGUUUCCAAGAGGCUUCCUGACCAUUUAUCUUCCAUAAGGAUAGAACUCUCUCAACGGCAUUCUUGAGGCCCUCUGUAUUACUGUGGCCCUAGGGAAAACUGUGUAGCCUACCUGUUUGUUGACAGCCAGUGUGCCUUGUAGGCACUCCUGUCUUCCUCUCUCUCUAACUGUGACAUAGUCAGUAUGUGCCUCAGUGCCCUUAGCCUGCUGGAGCACAGUGGUGCUAAUGCACACUUCAUCUGGCUGCCCUCACAUGUUGGGCUGCCUCAUAAUGAUAAAGCAGACCUAUAUACUCGUCUUGCCUCAUGACCUUACUGUACAGCCAGGUGUUGAGCACACUUAUGUUAAGAGUAGACUUAUAUCUCUUGUUAGUGAGUCUGUCACCUCUCAGCUUGCCUUGUGCUGUCAGGAUGGCAGUGCCUCCAGCAUUCACUAUGCCCAGGUAUGGAGUCUCUGUACCCACACUUAUGGCAGGCACAGUGCAUCCUAUGGUCUUGUGGUGAUGUGUCUGAGGCUGGGCUAUAGGUGUUACUGGGAGGUCAGUGGGGCUGCCCCUGCACCUUGCAGUUUGUGUGCCAAGCCAGGGGGUCACACGCUCCAUCAUUAUGUCCCUCUAAUAGCUGUAUCUGCUCACAGGGCCACUGGGACCUGCCUGAGCUGGUUCAUUAACAAUAAUGUUCUUUCGUGUAUUGUAAAGAGAGCAUCCUACAUUUGCCCCUAGAUUGUAGUUCUUCUGGGUGCAGUCCCUUGUGUCUGCCCCCUUGAUCUCGCCAUGGCUACUAUUUAUUUUAACGCAGCACUUGUUCCCUACCAUUAUACCUGUUUAGGUCCAUGGUGCUGCCAACGCAUGUGUCAAGAGUUGUACAAUCACACUGUGUACUGCCUGGGGGCUGGGAUGGCAGGUUCCUCCCUUCUCCUUUGUUGUGUAUCUUUGCAACAAUAAACCAACAAUCAGUCCGUCCA